UUCGUAAUACAAGCAGCUACGCAGAAACUCUGAGUAUGGUGGCGUAAGCCUGAGGCUGAGGCAGGAAGAUUGCAGGUCCAAGAAAUCCUGUUCACUGUGGGCUGUGACUCUGAUAAAAAUCCAAAUGAGGAGACUUGGAGAACAGGAGGGCAUUAGAACCCCUCACCCAGAGAACUCCUCAUUGUACACAUCACACCCAGGGCAGCUGUCAUCGAUCCCGCCGGGCCAUGCAUCGUGCCUGCUGGACUGGAGGCCUGCCUGGUAUGUGAUAUUUGAGCAAAUCCCAGUGUGAAGGUUUUGUUUCAGGCUGCCCAUUUCCUGCCGGCUCCAACUACCACGGUGACAGGUCGGCUCUCAGCCACAUCAUCAAGCAGACUCAGGUAACCAAUUGAUGGUCUGUUUAUCGAUUAGUGCAUCUCCCUAGUACAUGGUUCUCUUUUUAAAAUUCUACCAAUUCGUUUUAGUUAGCACAGCAAAUAACGAGCUUCAAUGCGACAUUUUCAUGGUAUUUUGCUCAUAUCCGUCUCCCAUCCUUCUCUCCCGCCCCUUCCGCUUCCUGUUGUCUCCAUUCUUCCUCCCAAAGCAUCUCUCUUCUGCUUUCAUGUCCUGGGUGUGUAUCUAAAGCUAAAGUCUGUGUGUGAGGAAAAACAAGGGCAGCAUUCUUCUUUCCAUUCCCCUCAUUACUCUCUUGCCUCCUCAUCAUGGACGUCUCUUUAUAUCGUUAGGUCUGCUGUAUUGAGUUUGCAAUAUAUAUUCCAUAUAGGAGUAGAAACUUGCAGCUUUGGUAUCUUGAGUCUGGCUUGUUUUACUUAACAUGAUGGUUUCCAGCUCAUUUUUCUGCAACUUGCAUAAUUUUAUUAUUCUUUACUACUGAAUGAAGCAGAUAAAAACAAACAAACAAAAUCAAAAGUGCUUUUUAAGAAGAGGGUUCAAAAACCACAAAAAUAUCA
ensembl:processed_transcript Gm16348 predicted gene 16348